rnacentral:lncRNA from 1 species
AGACAGGACUGCUGCUGAGAGGCUUGCGGGAGAAGAGGGACAAGGGGGACGUGGGAGCUGCUGGUGGGGCUUGCUGUGCUGAGCAGGGCUGGCUUAAGAGACCAUUCUACAGGGGAGAUGCUGGGUCCUGUUUGUCCCUAAGUCCUAGGUGGUGUGGGGCUGUGCACUCCAGGAGGGUAUCUGUUCCAGGCUCCUCCCCCUGUGUCAAGAGGUUUUCCUUGGUAUUUAGCUUUCUUUUUUUCAUGUGGUUGUUUAAGGCCCUCAAUUAAAAACUAAAUUUAAAAAAAAAAGAGACAAAGAUGAAGAAAAGGUAAUAACAAAACUAAGAAAUGAAGAUCUCAGAACUGCCAGUUCCUUUUUGGUUUUUAAAUCUUGAAUCAUUCUUAAAAAGAGCUAAAAUAAAACACAUGAAGGCAGGCCCAGGGCCCCAGGCACAGCGAACAGCAGCCGGGAGUGGUUGGGACUCUGGCUUAGCUGCUGCAUGGCAGCCUCAGUCCCAGACAGACAUCAACCACGUCUCCAAGGCGCUGUGGGUAAGAACCCCUGGAGCUGAGGGGCACGUUGUGCAAUCUACUGAACAGGAUGCAGAAUUAUAAAAAUAGCUACAUUUCUCCAAGACACUGUCUGCUUUCCACUUCACCAGGCAUUUACCUGGGAUUAACAAUUACUGUGAGCUUGUCCCUCCCUCCCUUAGUAUGGUAUAGUGACAGGGAUUUGGGCUAGGACACAGGCGGGAGGGGAAGGAAAUGAUUAGUAACCAUCAUAUCACUCGUACAUGGUUCUUUUCAAAUUUGCUGGCUCACUUGGUCCUCAUGCAACCCUGUGCGGGUAGGUGGCACUAGCCUGUCAUUGAUGAAACUGAGCCAGGCAGAGGCCUGCCAAGACCUGACUGCUUGUACCUGCUUACUUGGAGUCUCCCACCCACCUCCUCUGACUCUAGCUGUCAUUUCCCUGGGAUCUGACCAGGGAAAUGGGUUGGGGAUAGGAGUAGAGGAGUGGACAGUGUACUUUGAUCCCUUAGGUCCUUUGCUUCUCUAUAUGUGUGAGAGUAAAAGGAAAUCUCAGACUGUUCAUAUUCUCCUAUUCUCUGAUUUUUUUUAACUUCUUGGAGCUCUUGGGAGAGCUGGCUUGUACUUCUUAGCUGGGAAGUCAGCCAAUUAUCAUGUGUGCCUGGAGAGGUUUUCUACAUGUGGAAGCUUCUGGAAUACGUGGUGCUUGAAACCAUUCUGAUACCUUUGUAGAGCAUUUCAUGCAUGUGCAUACAGACCUGUUUCUGCUGCUGUCGCUCACUUAGAGAUGAGGCCUUGCUGUGGAAUAUUUGUAAUUUUUUUCCAACAGAUUUGUAAGGGAUGCCCAGAGCUUUGCCUAGCAUGCAUGUUGUGUGUAUGUUACCUGUUUGUACAGCACCUGCUGGAAGCACUGGCUAAAUAUACAACGUAAAGUCAGACACUAGACACACUGGCUCCAACUCUGAAUGUGUCUUGAUUGACUUGAGAAAGUAUGUCUUACCCAUGCAGAAGAGGGUAGGCUAGAGAAGUCCUGGGAUUGGGUUUCCUUGAGUUCUGAGCCUAGCCCCCAAUUCUGUCCAGGGUUGCUGAGGCAGAGUAAUUGGACUGUAAUGACUUCUUGGCCAUUUAGAACUCUGAGUGACCUUCAUUGGAAUAGACCCAGAACUUAUAUGAAGGAGUGAAGAAGAGUUUAUCCUUAUUUGCAAUGAAUUUCAUCAGAAUGGUUUAGUUUUUUUCUGGUAAUGCUCCCUUAGAAUGAUUGAGGUUGGAUGGGGCUGCGUGCGUAUGUCUGGUAACAGCUGUCCAGAAAGCACAGGGGAGCUGUUUUGGUGGUAGAAGUCUUCAGUAGCCUUGUGUGUGAAGAGUUGUUGUGUUGGACCUGGUUCUUUCUGUUCACCUGGAAGACAGAAAAAAGGACCAUCCAAACCUGCCGCAGGGAAGGUGGUGGGGAGAGCCGUGCCUCACCUUGCCCAGGGUUCCCAAGGGAAGAUGAAACCUGUCUGAGGUGGGGAGACUGGAUGUCUUUGACAGGUCAAAUCCAUCCCUGAAGCAACCUGAAGAAGGUUCAGGUACUAGGAUCCAGAGCUGGGUCCUUGGCCCCACUCUCCAUCUUUCCCCUUCUGUUUCCAGGCAGCCCUAAGCCAGGGCGGGGAUGCGGGGGCUUGGAGGGUGGAGGAGACGGCGUGGGAAUGGAACCUGGAACUCCAGAUCCCUUCCAGGAAAGAGCCCUGAGCGGCCCUAAUUCUGUAUUUGUCAUCACUGCCCUUCGUCACUGCCCACCCCUGCAGAUGGCUCCUAGCCCUUGGAUAGGCAUUGUAGGGGUUGGGGGGAGCGGGGCCAGACAGGGUUUACUAGCAUGAAGGUAGAAGAAGAUGGAAGAGGAGUACCUUAGAGCUGGCCAUAGUGCAGGAGCCACAGGCAUUGCCUUUGAUGCUACCGACUUGCAUACUAGUUAGCCGUAACCCAAAGUCUGAAAUCAGGUGAUGCCUCAAUGAGAGUUGUAUUUAAAUAUGGAAAAUUAUAUAUCCUUUUGUGUUAUUGCCAGGUACAGUUUUAGCAUCAAAAGGCCUGACAGGAGUUAGGUGUUGUGGUGCACACCUAUAAUUCCAGCAAUUUGAGAGGCUGAGGCAGGAGGAUUGCAAAUUUGAGGCCAGUCUCAGUAACUUAGAGACCCUUCUCAAAUUAAAAUAAUAAUUAAAAAAAAAAAGAGGCCUGGGACUGGGCUGUGGCUCAGUGGUAGAGCGCUGCUUAGCACGUGCGAGGCCCUGGGUUCCAUCCUCAGCACCACGUAAAAAUAAAUAAAAAUGAAGAUUUUUUUUUUUUUUUUUAAA